rnacentral:rRNA from 1 species
UGGGGAAUUUUGCGCAAUGGGCGAAAGCCUGACGCAGCGACGCCGCGUGAAUGAAGAAGGCCUUCGGGUCGUAAAGUUCUUUCAGCAGGGAAGAAAGUGUAUGUAAGUAACUGUGCAUAUUUUGACGUUACCUGCAGAAGCAGCCCCGGCUAACUCCGUGCCAGCAGCCGCGGUAAUACGGAGGGGGCAAGCGUUGUUCGGAGUGACUGGGCGUAAAGCGCACGUAGGUGGUGGCGCAAGUUAUUGGUUAAAGGCGACAGCUUAACUGUCGUAAGGCCAGUAAAACUGCGUUACUAGAGUAUCGGAGAGGAAUGCGGAAUAUCUGGUGUAGCGGUGGAAUGCGUAGAUAUCAGAUGGAACACCUGUUGCGAAGGCGGCAUUCUGGUCGAUAACUGACACU